GACGAACGCUGGCGGCGUGCUUAACACAUGCAAGUCGAACGGUGAACUCCGCUUGCGGGGGGAUCAGUGGCGAACGGGUGAGUAACACGUGGGCAACCUGCCCUCAGCUCUGGGAUAACUCCAAGAAAUUGGGGCUAAUACCGGAUAUGACCGCUGACCGCAUGGUCUGGUGGUGGAAAGAUUUAUCGGCUGGGGAUGGGCCCGCGGCCUAUCAGCUUGUUGGUGGGGUAGUGGCCUACCAAGGCGACGACGGGUAGCCGGCCUGAGAGGGUGACCGGCCACACUGGGACUGAGACACGGCCCAGACUCCUACGGGAGGCAGCAGCGGGGAAUAUUGCGCAAUGGGCGAAAGCCUGACGCAGCGACGCCGCGUGGGGGAUGACGGCCUUCGGGUUGUAAACCUCUUUCAGCAGGGACGAAGCGAAAGUGACGGUACCUGCAGAAGAAGCACCGGCCAACUACGUG
rnacentral:rRNA from 1 species